rnacentral:rRNA from 1 species
CUUUCGGAGAGUUUGAUCCUGGCUCAGAGUGAACGCUGGCGGCGUAGAUUAGGCAUGCAAGUCGAGCGAUACUUUUUUCUUGAAAACGGUGAAGCCGCAAGGUUGAUCUGUCGAUGGAAGAAAGAUAUAGCGGCAGACUGGUGAGUAACACGUGAGUAAUUUACCUCUAAGUCGGGGAUAGCCUUGCGAAAGCGAGGGUAAUACCCGAUGUGUUUACGGCUGCAUAAGCAGCCAUAAGUAAAGGGGGCCCGCAAGGGUUCUUGUUUAGAGAUGAGCUCGCGUCCUAUCAGCUAGUUGGUGGGGUAAUGGCCUACCAAGGCUUUUGACAGGUAGCUGGCCUGAGAGGGUGGUCAGCCACAUGGGGACUGAGACACUGCCCCAACUCCUACGGGAGGCUGCAGUCGAGGAUAUUU